GGCCUAGUGGUCUAGGUGUAUGAUACUCGCUUUGGGUGCGAGUGGUCCCGGGUUCGAAUCCCGGCUGGGCCC
rfam:Schistosoma mansoni strain Puerto Rico chromosome 1, complete genome